rnacentral:rRNA from 1 species
UACAGAGGUCUCAAGCGUUGUUCGGAUUCAUUGGGCGUAAAGGGUGCGUAGGCGGCGCGGUAAGUCGGGUGUGAAAUCUCGGGGCUUAACUCCGAAACUGCAUUCGAUACUGCCGUGCUUGAGGACUGGAAAGGAGACUGGAAUUUACGGUGUAGCGGUGAAAUGCGUAGAUAUCGUAAGGAAGACCAGUGGCGAAGGCGGGUCUCUGGGCAACAACUGACGCUGAGGAGCGAAAGCGUGGGGAGCGAACAGG